rnacentral:rRNA from 1 species
CGGAUGAGUGUACCUGAAGAAAAAGCAUCGGCUAACUCCGUGCCAGCAGCCGCGGUAAUACGGAGGAUGCGAGCGUUAUCCGGAUUUAUUGGGUUUAAAGGGUGCGCAGGCGGUCUGUUAAGUCAGCGGUCAAAGCCCGGGGCUCAACCCCGGCCCGCCGUUGAAACUGGCAGUCUCGAGUUGGAGAGAAGUAUGCGGAAUGCGCGGUGUAGCGGUGAAAUGCAUAGAUAUCGCGCAGAACUCCGAUUGCGAAGGUAGCAUGCCGGCUCCACACUGACGCUGAGGCACGAAAGCGUGGGUAUCGAACAGGAUUAGAUACCCUGGUAGUCCACGCAGUAAACGAUGAAUGCUGGCUGUCCGGGGGGACUGACCCCUGG